rnacentral:misc_RNA from 1 species
GUAGGUUAUUGCCAGGGUUUUUAUUUUUAUACUUUAAACUUUGAUUUUAUUUUUAUGUUUUUUAAAUAUUGGUGUUUUUGAAUGUGUUGUUUAAAUAAUAUAAAAAAUAAAAUAUAUAUUGACAUGUAUUAAACAAAGAUAUAUAUUAUUUUAUGUUGUAUAAAUAAAUUGGCAAAAUAGAGAUGGAAGAUAAAAAUAUGGUCAAAGUAAUAAGAGUCUAUGGUGAAUGCCUAGGA